rnacentral:tRNA from 1 species
CGGGGCAUAGUGUAGCAGCAACAUUCACGAUUCGGGUUCGUGCGACUCGGGUGCAAUUCCCGAUGCCCCGACCA